CUUGCUCAUAGCCACAGAUAUAGAAAGACGGAGACAGGACAGCAGGGGCCGUAACUGAGGCAGAACCACAGCACACAGACUUCUGCUGGCUGCUCCAGAUGGUGCCAACUCCGCAAGUGUCAUCCGCGCUCUUACAGAAUCCACUCUGGGAAGGGGCUGCUAGUGGGCCCCGAAAUGGUCACAGGGCCUUACUCCUACAAUGGGCUACGGUGGGACGUAC